AACACAGAGGACAUUUUGGAGGAAGGGAGCAGCCAAAAGCCUUCGUUAGUGGGGAAGAGGAGGAAGAAGAGAAUGAGGACCGACCCGGCUGCAUUAACACCCUUCUCCCCAUGAGUCAGGAGCAGUGGGGAGGCAUCAGCCUCCAUCCCACCGCCCAGCCCCUCCACACCCAGCGCUGCUGGCUUCGCACCUGGCUGCUCCCCGCAGCUCCCUGCCGAUGGGGGAAGACACCCAGCAACAGCUCUGGGGUUUUUUUCAGCCAAACUUUGCCCAGAUGCUUUUGCAGCCCCAGCCUUCCCCACCAUCCCUUCAGUGUUUCCAGCUGCCUCUGGCAUAAACCCGCUAACCUUGAGCCAAAGCCCAGAGCAGCUGCUCAUGUCCCACGUUCCCACGGUCCUCAGUGCCGGAGAAGGGCUGGAUAAAUCACUCCAGCGAGGGAGAGCACCACUGACCUGCCCCGCCUUAGCCAGCCUUUCCUGCAGCUCCAGGUUUAUCCACGUUUGUCCCAGCGAGGUGCUUUUUGUGAUCUCAGGGUUACAGCUCCCCAAGGACUAAUCGAGGAACCUGCUUACCACCAAAGGCUGCAGCAGAGCUGAUGUCUGCUCCCUCUGAGGAUGCUUUUUGCUGCUUUCCCCACAUGAAGCACAAGGAGACUCUGCUUUUCCCCAUAUCCUGCUCUCCCCUGCCAAGUAAUUUAUGCAGGACCAGCGUCCCAUCACUGUAGCUUUGCUGCUGUCAGUGUCCCCGCUGUCCCCCAAGGGUUGUGGCUGCCAGCAUCCUCCGCUGGCUUGGUGCCGAGCCCUGGGUCUCUCCUGGGACCUGCUCACAGCCUCGGCAGCACAAAGCCAUGUUUGCUGCAUCCUCAUCCUCCUGUGGGCUUUGGGCACCCUGACUGCCCCAGCCCUCGCAGGAACCUGGGGCACCCCCUGCCCUCUGGAAAGCAGCAAAGGCGACAGAGAGACCGAGGCCCCAGACAUAUGUCCUUGCAGGCAAUGUGCUCCUUUUCCAUCCCAGAUCUUCACAUUCCCAUCCUGAAACUCAGGCAGGGCAGGACCAGGCAUUGCGCUCCAUCCCCUCCUGGCCACCAAAAAUGGCCUGGAUGAAGGAGCCAAUGAUGGCCAUUAAACACCCUGCAAGCCCUGGAAAGAGGGUCUGGCUGGGGGAGGGACUGUGUCAUGCUGCUUCACUCCUCCCUGGACAUCUCCUGGGGUGGGAGGUGAUGGGGCCGGGGCUGCCCUGGGGUGGCUGGGAGGGGAAAGGCCUGUUUCAAAAAUAAAGGAUCUCAUGGGUAAAUGCACAUAGCCCUGGUGCUGCAUCAUGGAGGGACGUGCCACCCCCGAGGCUGGCUCUGGGAACGACACUAACUCUUCUGGACUCUCAGCACCCCUGCACUUCGCUCAUCUCCUGUGGCCCAAGGACAUGGAUGCUCCCCCAUAUGCAUGGGUAUGGUGGGUCAGAGGCAGGGCUGAGCCCAUCACACCCCCGGGCUGGUCUCUUCGCCCUCCCAAGGGACCCACUGGGCACCCGCAGGCAUCAGAAGAGCUGUGGGUCCCCCAGGAGCCACACACAAGGGGGGCUGUCACAGCACCCAGCCCUGCAGAGCCUCCACAGCCUCCUGGAGGGGUCCCUGCACCCACUCUGCUCUGGCCAUGGGGGUGCAGCACCCACCCUCUGCCAGCUCCAGCCCAGCCACACAUUAGGCAUUGCCCAAGGGGGAGCUGGAUGCUCAGAACCCCCCCACCUCUCCCUAGGGAUGCUGGACAGGGCAGAGAUUUCUGGGUCCUUCCAGGACCACACUCAGUGACUCAAGGCCAUGGAAGGCAGGCUGCAGCAAUGGCACCAGGCUCCUCUGCACCCCUCACAGCCUCUGCCCCAGCCUGGAGCCAUCCAAGAUACUUAUUUUAAAAAUACCUCGUCCUUCCCUGCAAGCACCGCUGCCUCCCAGGUCUUGCAGUGCUCUGCAGCCCCAAAACGGCUCAGAGAGGUUGGGAGAGCUUUGCACAGGGGUGCAGAGAGGUGCACAGCCAUCAGCAGCGGUGCACAGCCAUGCACAGGGGUGCAGAGCCCGGCAGGACAGCAGGCAGGACAGCAGGCAGGACAGCAGGCAGGACAGCAGGCAGGACAGCAGGCAGACGGGAGCCCUCCCGCGGCGAUCCCCAGCCCUGCUCCCAGCUGCAAAGGCACACAGUGGCCGCUGCACCAGAGGGAUGCCUGCACAGCUGUGCCGCUCCAUCCUCCCAGGUGCUGCUGCUUGCACCGACUGCAGGGCUUUUUGCUUUUGCCUUUUGGAUUUCAAGCCUUUAGGUCUUGCGUUUUCCAGCUUUCCCCCCCCCCCCUCAUUAUGGGGAGAUCUGGGAAUUCCCUUUCCCAAGCAAAUAAGCUAGGAGCGGUGCUGCGGAUGAUGCCAACGGCAAGAGCAGCACUGGCUGCUCAGCCCCAGCACAGAAAACUGUUCCCCAAGCCCCCCCUGCCUGGAUUCUGCUGCCUCCAGGGCUGAGCCGAGCUGUGUUUCCUUCCACAGGGUCAGGGUGUUUGCAAACAGUUUGGAAAACCCCAAAUCAGCCCCUGCACGGACCCACUGUGCAAAGGCCAAACCCAGGUUUCUACAACUUCAGGAACCGCAGCAGCAAAGAGGCUUUUCCUUCGAUGUUUGGGGUGAAACAGGCCUGUUUCAGGUCCCUGGGCAUGCCAGACUCCUGGGGCAGAGGUGGCUGGUUUCCAUGGAAGCGAUGCCAAGGUUGAAGGUGCUGCAGAAUGAACCCCAUGGGGAAAACGGGCAUCAGGAGCGUGACAUCCCAGCAAUUCACCUGCUUUGCCUUAAAAGAAGAAAAAAAUAACAAAAAAAAGAAUAUUUUAGCUCUCCCACAGCCAAACACGAGAGGAAAUUGAAGCCGCAGCACGCGACGUGGGUGUGGGGCCAUCCCAGGUUAGAGGACGCGGAUCUACGGCUUGUGAUUGAAGUGAUGGGGCAGUUAUUUGUUUUCUUACAUAAAAAUAAUCGCAGGUACUACACCUGCAUCUGAAGUAUUGCGGUUUUCAAAUGGCAUCUUCCUGUUCCUCUCCGGUCGUUGCUUGAAGACCAAAAGGGGGAACAAACUAUGUCUGACCAACAGUGAAACCAAGCACCUGCCAGGCACGGCAGAAAAACCCACCCUCCGGCUUUGUGAGUUUAAAAGGGGGGGGGGAA